rnacentral:rRNA from 1 species
CGCAUCUGUGCAUGCAGCAUAUCAAUAAGCGGAGGAAAAGAAACUAACAAGGAUUCCCCUAGUAACGGCGAGUGAAGCGGGAAGAGCUCAAAUUUGAAAUCUUAAAGGGUUUCCCUUUACGAAUUGUAGUUUAAAGAAGUGUUUUCUGUAGAGGUUUUGGUAAAAGUUCUUUGGAAUAGGACAUCAUAGAGGGUGAGAAUCCCGUAUUUGACCUUUACUUUCAACUUUGUGAUACACUUUCAAAGAGUCGGAUUGUUUGGGAAUGCAGUCCAAAAUGGGUGGUAAAUUUCAUCUAAAGCUAAAUAUUGGCGAGAGACCGAUAGCGAACAAGUACCGUGAGGGAAAGAUGAAAGGAACUUUGAAAAGAGAGUUAAACAGUACGUGAAAUUGUCAAAAGGGAAGCGUUUGACACCAGUGUUGUUUUUCUGAAAAUCAAUUAAAGAACUGUUUAUGCUAAGUUGUUUAGACUUUAUCAGCUAACUGUUUAGUUUUGAGCUUUUCUUUAAUGCACUCUUCAGUUAACAAGUCAACAUCAAUUUCUUUUGCUGUAAAAAAGCUUGAGGAAGGUGGCUUGAGAUUCGUCUUAAGUGUUUAUAGCCUCUUGCCUAUGCAGUCGGAGAGAUUGAGGUCUGCAGCGUAGAUCCUUCGGGGCUAAAUGCAUUUGUGCUAAGUUAUAGCAUUUUAUAGACAACUUGUUGACUAUGAUUUGUCUUGUAGCUUACUCGCUUAUGUUAUUUUACCUACGCUUAGGAUGUUGACAGCAGUAUAGACUGU